rnacentral:ncRNA from 1 species
GGAAGGACGACCUUCUCCUCACCAUCCCAUCCGCGGGGACGACCCUG